rnacentral:rRNA from 1 species
GACGAACGCUGGCGGCGUGCUUAACACAUGCAAGUCGAACGGAAAGGCCCUGCUUUUGUGGGGUGCUCGAGUGGCGAACGGGUGAGUAACACGUGAGUAACCUGCCCUUGACUUUGGGAUAACUUCAGGAAACUGGGGCUAAUACCGGAUAGGAGCUCCUGCUGCAUGGUGGGGGUUGGAAAGUUUCGGCGGUUGGGGAUGGACUCGCGGCUUAUCAGCUUGUUGGUGGGGUAGUGGCUUACCAAGGCUUUGACGGGUAGCCGGCCUGAGAGGGUGACCGGCCACAUUGGGACUGGGAUACGGCCCCGACUCCUACGGGAGGCAGCAGUGGGGAAUAUUGCACAAUGGGCGGAAGCCUGAUGCAGCAACGCCGCGUGCGGGAUGACGGCCUUCGGGUUGUAAACCGCUUUCGCCUGUGACGAAGCGUGAGUGACGGUAAUGGGUAAAGAAGCACCGGCUAACUACGUG